rnacentral:rRNA from 1 species
CCUACGGGUGGCAGCAGUGAGGAAUAUUGGUCAAUGGACGAGAGUCUGAACCAGCCAAGUAGCGUGAAGGAUGACUGCCCUAUGGGUUGUAAACUUCUUUUAUAUGGGAAUAAAAUGUUCCACGUGUGGGAUUUUGUAUGUACCAUAUGAAUAAGGAUCGGCUAACUCCGUGCCAGCAGCCGCGGUAAUACGGAGGAUCCGAGCGUUAUCCGGAUUUAUUGGGUUUAAAGGGAGCGUAGGUGGAUUGUUAAGUCAGUUGUGAAAGUUUGCGGCUCAACCGUAAAAUUGCAGUUGAAACUGGCAGUCUUGAGUACAGUAGAGGUGGGCGGAAUUCGUGGUGUAGCGGUGAAAUGCUUAGAUAUCACGAAGAACUCCGAUUGCGUAGGCAGUUCACUGGACUGCAACUGACACUGAGGCUCGAAAGUGUGGGUAUCAAACAGGAUUAGAUACCCUAGUAGUC